AAGGAUCAUUAAAAAAAUGAGGUAUUUUAUACCUCUUGUAUUUAAAACCCAACUCUAAAAUAUAAAUUUUUUUUUAAAAAAAAAAAACGUGCUUUCAACAAUGGAUCUCUUGGUUCUCGCAUCGAUGAAGAACGCAGCGAAAUGCGAUAAGUAAUAUGAAUUGCAGAAUUCCGUGAAUCAUCAAAUUUUUGAACGCAAAUUGCACUUCUUGGUAUUCUGAGAAGUACACAUGCUUGAGGGUCAGUUAAAUGAAAAAGUCGUGUAUAUCUUUGAUAUUACGGAUCUGGGUAUAUCGAUUUUAUAAAUCGAUUACCUAAAAUUAAUCUAUAUAU
rnacentral:rRNA from 1 species